rnacentral:rRNA from 1 species
UACGUAGGCAGCAAGCGUUGUUCGGAAUUACUGGGCGUAAAGCGUGCGCAGGCGGUUUUGUAAGACUGUCGUGAAAUCCCCGGGCUUAACCUGGGAAUGGCGAUGGUGACUGCAAGGCUAGAGUUUGGCAGAGGGGGGUAGAAUUCCACGUGUAGCAGUGAAAUGCGUAGAUAUGUGGAGGAACACCGAUGGCGAAGGCAGCCCCCUGGGUCAAAACUGACGCUGAGAAGCGAAAGCAUGGGGAGCGAACAGG